rnacentral:rRNA from 1 species
CGAGUGGCGGACGGGUGAGUAAUGUCUGGGAAACUGCCUGAUGGAGGGGGAGUAACUACUGGAAACGGUAGCUAAUACCGCAUAACGUCGCAAGACCAAAGAGGGGGACCUUCGGGCCUCUUGCCAUCGGAUGUGCCCAAAUGGGAUUAGCUAGUAGGUGGGGUAACGGCUCACCUAGGCGACGAUCCCUAGCUGGUCUGAGAGGAUGACCAGCCACACUGGGACUGAGACACGGCCCAGACUCCUACGGGAGGCAGCAUG